UACGAAGGGUGCAAACGUUGCUCGGAAUCAUUGGGCGUAAAGCGCACGUAGGCGGCGCAGCAAGUCGGACGUGAAAUCCCUCGGCUCAACCGAGGACGUGCAUCCGAAACUGUUGUGCUCGAGUAUGGAAGAGGGUCGCGGAAUUCUCGGUGUAGAGGUGAAAUUCGUAGAUAUCGGGAGGAACACCAGUGGCGAAGGCGGCGACCUGGGCCAAUACUGACGCUGAGGUGCGAAAGCGUGGGGAGCAAACAGG
rnacentral:rRNA from 1 species